rnacentral:rRNA from 1 species
UACGGAGGGGGCUAGCGUUGUUCGGAAUUACUGGGCGUAAAGCGCACGUAGGCGGCUUUGUAAGUUAGAGGUGAAAGCCCAGGGCUCAACCCUGGAAUUGCCUUUAAGACUGCAUCGCUUGAAUUGUGGAGAGGUAAGUGGAAUUCCGAGUGUAGAGGUGAAAUUCGUAGAUAUUCGGAAGAACACCAGUGGCGAAGGCGACUCACUGGACACAUAUUGACGCUGAGGUGCGAAAGCGUGGGGAGCAAACAGG